GCUCGCUGCUGGAGUCGUCGGGAGCACUGCUGUCCGCCGCUGCCGGCGCCUCCCUCCUCUUCCGGCAGCUUCCUCUUCCCCGGAAAUACUCCGAACUACCUCAAUUCAACCCGCAAGUUAUGUUUUCAACACAAAGUAUGAAUGAGGAAGGUGGAUGGAUGGAAGAUGGAAGAGUUAGAAAUGGAGGGUCUCCAUGGUGAAGAAACCGUCGACCAUGGGGGAGAAGAAGGAGAAGAGAAAAAGUUCUUGGGCUUGUUCCCACAUUUUGGAAUGAAUUGGGCUCCCGUUUGAUUUAAUUGAUUUGGGCUUAUUUAGUUGCAAGCCCAAUUUGUAUAAUUAUUUAGUUGUUAGGCUUUUUGAUUGUUAUGGCCCAAGGCCAUUCUAUAUAAACAGUUGGACUCCCAUUUUAUUUGAGAAGCCCAAGUAUAAAAAUACUUUGCAUUCUCGCA